rnacentral:rRNA from 1 species
CCUACGGGCGGCAGCAGUGGGGAAUAUUGGACAAUGGGCGAAAGCCUGAUCCAGCCGUGCCGCGUGUGUGAAGAAGGCCUUCGGGUUGUAAAGCACUUUCAGUGGGGAAGAAAGCCUUGGGGCUAAUACCCUCGAGGAAGGACAUCACCCACAGAAGAAGCACCGGCUAACUCCGUGCCAGCAGCCGCGGUAAUACGGAGGGUGCGAGCGUUAAUCGGAAUUACUGGGCGUAAAGCGCGCGUAGGCGGUCUGAUAAGCCGGUUGUGAAAGCCCCGGGCUCAACCUGGGAACGGCAUCCGGAACUGUCAGGCUAGAGUGCAGGAGAGGAAGGUAGAAUUCCCGGUGUAGCGGUGAAAUGCGUAGAGAUCGGGAGGAAUACCAGUGGCGAAGGCGGCCUUCUGGACUGACACUGACGCUGAGGUGCGAAAGCGUGGGUAGCAAACAGGAUUAGAUACCCCGGUAGUC